rnacentral:lncRNA from 1 species
AACGAAUCUUAGCAAAAUCUUUGCCUAAAUCAAAAUCAAAACACCACCAAAUCCUCUGCCAAUAUCCUUCAAGUUUUGAUGUGUAAUCAAAGUUUUGGUUGAGGAAGAAUGAGUUCGUUUUUGGUGAUCCAUAAAGAAAAAGAAGUCUAGAGGCUCUGGAGUAGGUGUUGGAGCCCACAGCUGAGGAGUUAUUCUGUAAUUAAUAGGUUGGGAGUUAGAGUUACUGAUGUUUUGUCUGGACCAUAUCUGUAACUUCAAUCUUUUCUUCUCGAUCAUUUAUUGGCAUAAAUUGCUCGAAGUUGCACUUGAAGAGUUUUUUUAAGAAAUUUUCCUUUGUAAACAAUUCUUGCUGUAAUUUACUUUUAUCACUUUUACUUUCAUGCUGGCAUGAUUUCUGUGCUAUAAAUUGAUUUCAAUAAUCUAAAUUUAAUAAUUUGUUAUGUGUUACAAGUUAUUAGUAGUAAAAUUUAAAUUUCGCAUUUUACACCUAUUUGCUCCUUUGAGGUGUUUAUUGGGUUGAAUUGAGUUUAUUACAAUUGGUAAGCUUAGUUUCAAUUCUUGACCUGGAAUAGUUUAGAUGAGUACUAGUCAGUCAUUAUGUGUGCCUCUACACUUUAAUGAAAGUAAUUAUAUUUAUAGGAAGAUUAGGAUGAGAGUUUUCUUGAAAUUUAUAAAUGAACAAGUUUAAGCAUGUGUGGUGAAGGGUUUGACAACCCUAUCUGUAGCUGUUGAUGGUGUAAUGCUUACAGAAGUAUUCACUUGGAUUAAAAAUGAAUUACUUGAGUGUAAUCGAAAUAGUAAAGAUGGUCAUGCCAUUUGUUAUGACUAUAUCACCUGAGGAGUUUAAAUGUGUGUAUGGGUAAGACUUUCAAGGAAGCUUGCGACAUUCUUGAAACCACACACGAGGGAAAUAAAAUGGUGAAAAACUCUAAGCUGCAAAUGUUGACCCCAAAGUUUGAGAAAUUAGAACGAAGGAUGAUGAAUCGUCUAAUGAUUUCAAUACAAAAUUAAAUGACAUAAUUAAUUCUAGCUUUAAUGAAAGUGAAUGGAUUUUGUAGACUAAAACAGUUAGAAAGGUUCUAAGAUUUGUAUGUGAGAGGUUUAGACCUAAGGCCAUAGCAAUUGAGGAAAGUAAAGACCAACAUCAUGUUAAAAUAGAAGAACUUAUAGGUUCUCUCCAAACCUACGAGCGUACCCUACCCAAGUUUAAGAAAAAUAAGUCCAUAGCCUUCAACACUAUAAAGAAAGAGACUAGUGAUAAGCAUGAUAAGGAGACUCUAGCUGAUAUGGAGGUAACAUAUUUUGCUAAGAAAUUCUGGUUCUUUAGGAACAAUAAAAAACAUUUUUAGAAGUUUAAUAGGGACUCUGGGAAAUAUAAGGAAGAUAAAAGAGAGAAGAAAUACACUAGGAAUACCAAAAAGAAGUCUCGAAACAUUAGGUGUAAUGAGUAACAUGGGUUUGGACAUAUUAGAGUUGAGUUUCCAAGUUAUAGCAAGACUAAUGAUGAGUGUAAUUUCAGGAAUCAAAGUAAGAUUUCUACUUCUAAGGAUAAUUGAAACUACAUGGCUUUUACUUCCUUUGUGGAAUAUGAAAGGGAGAAGGAGGAUAGAAAGAUUGAGAACUUAGAGCACAUAGACUUCUCACAGGAAGAGUCUGAUGAUGAAGAUCUCUAAGAUGCUUAUGAUAAGUUAUUUAAGGAGAGUCUUAAAUUGAAGAAGAAAAAUAGGCCUACUUUUAAAAAUUUAUAUAUUUUUCGAGUUAGAGAAGAAAAGAUUUUUGGCUAAGCUUGAGGAGAUAAAUUGUAGUGUGAAUGAGCUAAAUAUUGAGGAGUCCUUUGAGAAUAAAUUUAAGAUACUAGUAAUUGAACUUGAUAAAUCCAAUUCACAACUUCGUACUUUCUCUAGUCGGUCUAAGAAGCUUGACAAAAUAUUAGGACAAAACAAGUCUGCGAGAAAUAGGGGAUGUUUAUGCUAUAAGGAAAUAGGUUCUCAUGUUAUUGCCUCUUCUAAAACCAUUUAUGUUCUUGCAUCUACUAAGACUAAGAAGGUAAAAGUUAGUGAGUCUAAGAGUAAAGACACAUUAGGAAGAAAAUCUUUAGUGCACCAAAAGAUUUCUCAGCUUGAAGUUCUAAACUUUUAAUCUAAGCACUGCUACUAUAUUUAUCCCCAUGUGUUUUAACAGUAAAGAGUUAUGUCCCACAUGUCCUAGAUAUCAUAAACUCUUGAUUAGGAAAGAGAAUGAGGAUAUUGCUUGUUAGUUUAAACUCUAAACUAUAUAGUAAUCACUCGACUAAAAUGAUGACACACUAGACAAAAAUUACUUCUUCUAGGAAGGUUUUGGUUAAAAAGGGUUAAUUCUCCAAAUAGUCAUUGAACUUUGCCAAAAAGUUUCCAAGAGGUCACCAAACUUCAAAACAUCCCUAAAUAGUCAUUGAACUUUGCAAAAAACUUCUAGGAGGUCAUUGAACUUCAAAACAUCCCUAAAUAGUCACUUAACUUUGCAAAAAGCUUCUAGGAGGUUACUGAACUUCAAAACUUUCCUAAAUAGUUACUGAACUUUGCAAAAAGUUCCUAAGAGGUCACUUAACUUUGAAAAUUGAGGCCCAUACAUCACUGAUUUAGUGACCUUCUAUGAACUUACUACAAAGUUCAGUGACCUCCUAGGAACAUUUUGCAAAGUUCAGUGACUAUUUAAGAAAGUUUUAAAGUUCAAUGACUUCUUGGGAGAUUUUUGCAAAGUUCAGUGUCUAUAUAGGGAAGUUUUGAAGUUGGUGACCUCUUUGGAACUUUUAGUAAAGUUUAGUGACUAUUUGAGGUAUUAACUCGAUUAAAAAUAAUGAACUUACUAAAGAUGUUGAGCUUGUUUCUACCGAAAACCAAUUGACUGGCCUACUUAUCAAACCUUUGGAUAGUCAUUGGUCUAAGUUUCUUAGGACAGCCAUUGAUGUUUGUGCUAAUCCUUGAGUAGUAUUUUAUGUGCAUUCAUUAGUUAGGUAAUGUCCUUCACUUCUUCUUGCAUGCAUAUUAAUUUAUUUAUCUUUUAUUUUUGUUGAUUCCUUUUUUAUUGCUUUCUUAUGUUGAUUUGAAAAAAAAAAAAUUGAAAUUGCAAAAUAAAAAUAUAUAUUUUUGGCUAUGUAAAAUUUGAAGUGAUUACAUUACUUGUUAUCUUGUGAACUGUGUACUUUUAAGUUGUAUAAAAAGGGAUAAAAAUUCACAUUUAACUUAUUCUUGAACUUACUCGGAGUACUUGAUAUGCUUUACUUCAUGCCCUUUCCAGUAUACACGCUAAUUCUUUAUGAAUGAGAUUUAACCUUGUGUGUGAGAUUCGGGAUGACAGUCAUAGGUGUAUGGGGUUGCCUUGAAUGCAAAUUGACCUUUAACUAGCUGACCUUAGCUAUAUUAAAUUUUUCAAGUGUCAAGAACACACACACACACACAAAAGAAAAAAAAAAGAAAAGAAAAGUUGUUGAAAGAAAAAUGCAAGUCUGAUAUAAAGACAAUAACAAUGAGCUUCAAAAUGAGUUUCAAAUUGUGCUCUAGGUAUGGAGAGAGAGAAAAAGGUUAUGCAAAAAAUAUAUUCGAGUUAUCUCAGUUUAAUAGGUCCUAGUAGUGCUGGAUUUUCUUUACAUUAUUUAAGAAAAAUAUUCAUUUAUCUAAUGAAUUCAUUUUACAUUUCCCUUCUCACAAAAUUAAGGUUUUGAGUUUUGCUCACAAAGUACUGGUGGCAAAAUACACUCAUUGAUCUAUUAUAACUUGCACUCUAUAUUAUUGUAGAGAUGUGUGGGAUGAUCUCAUUGUUCAUCGUCCAUACUUGUAUGCAUGAUGAGUUUCUUGUUCUUGUGAUGCUCACUUGAUAAGCUGCUAUUAGUACAUAUUAUAAUAGUGCAAUAUUUUGUUCUAUUUUAUUUUUUUUCAAAAAAAUGAGGAACCUUGGUUGUUCCUUUGAUUAUUUGUGACAAAAAGGGGAGAGUAGUGGUAUGAUAGCUAAAUUUUUUUACUUAGUGAGUUUUACAUUCUAUUCUUGCCUACUUUUACUAUAUGAUGAUUUGUUGAAUUCAUACUUGUAGAUUACUCUUGCAUUUCACAUGUCAUUAUUUGAGUUGUUGUGUUUCAGGAAACAUGUAUGACAAAGAAAUUGAGAUGGAAUGGUGGUUUGGAGUUGUUUAGUUAGUCAAUUUAAACUUGGUAGGAUUCAAAAUCGAUUUUGUCACAGAAUGUCAAAUGGGGAGCUUUUUAGGUCUAAAGUCUUAGCAAGUUUCGUGUCCAAAUAUCAUUAAAUCGAGUUGUAAUUGACUUGCUAAUGCCACAGAAUAUCAACGCAUGAUUGGGAAAGCUUGAUUGUAG